UCAGGCCUAACACAUGCAAGUCGAACGGCAGCGCGGAGAGCUUGCUCUCUGGCGGCGAGUGGCGAACGGGUGAGUAACGCGUAGGAAUCUACCUUGUAGUGGGGGAUAGCCUGGGGAAACUCGGGGUAAUACCACAUAAUCUCUACGGAGCAAAGCGGGGGAUCUUCGGACCUCGCGCUGCAAGAUGAGCCUGCGUUGGAUUAGCUAGUUGGUGGGGUAAAGGCCUACCAAGGCGACGAUCUAUAGCUGGUCUGAGAGGACGACCAGCCACACUGGGACUGAGACACGGCCCAGACUCCUACGGGAGGCAGCAGUGGGGAAUAUUGGACAAUGGGGGAAACCCUGAUCCAGCAAGUGCCGCGUGUGUGAAGAAGGCCUUAGGGUGUAAAGAAAGGUCGGUGGGAAAGAAAAAAUCAAGACUAAUACGCUGAGAA
rnacentral:rRNA from 1 species